CACGUAGGGUGCGAGCGUUGUCCGGAAUUUAUUGGGCGUAAAGAGCUCGUAGGCGGUGUGUCGCGUCGGCCGUGAAAACUUGGGGCUUAACUCUGAGCGUGCGGUCGAUACGGGCAUCACUUGAGUUCGGCAGGGGAGACUGGAAUUCCUGGUGUAGCGGUGAAAUGCGCAGAUAUCAGGAGGAACACCGGUGGCGAAGGCGGGUCUCUGGGCCGAUACUGACGCUGAGGAGCGAAAGCAUGGGGAGCGAACAGG
rnacentral:rRNA from 1 species